CAAUAGCGUAUAUUUAAGUUGUUGCAGUUAAAAAGCUCGUAGUUGGAUUUUGGGUUAGGGUGUCCGGUCCGCCGUUUCGGUGUGCACUGGGCGCUCUUUCCUUUCUGCCGGGGACCGUUGGGUGUCUUAAUUGCCAUCCCUCGGGAGUCGGCGUUGUUACUUUGAAAAAAUUAGAGUGUUCAAAGCAAGCCAUCGCUCUGAAUACAUUAGCAUGGAAUAACAUGAUAGGACUCCGCUCUUAUUUUGUUGGUUUCCGAGACUGGAGUAAUGAUUAAGAGGGACAGUCGGGGGCAUCCGUAUUUCAUUGUCAGAGGUGAAAUUCUUGGAUUUAUGAAAGACGAACUUCUGCGAAAGCAUUUGCCAAGGAUGUUUUCAUUAAUCAAGAACGAAAGUUGGGGGCUCGAAGAUGAUUAGAUACCA
rnacentral:rRNA from 1 species